rnacentral:rRNA from 1 species
CCUACGGGAGGCAGCAGUAGGGAAUAUUGCUCAAUGGGGGAAACCCUGAAGCAGCAACGCCGCGUGGAGGAUGAAGGUUUUCGGAUUGUAAACUCCUUUUGUUAGAGAAGAUAAUGACGGUAUCUAACGAAUAAGCACCGGCUAACUCCGUGCCAGCAGCCGCGGUAAUACGGAGGGUGCAAGCGUUACUCGGAAUCACUGGGCGUAAGGAGCGCGUAGGCGGGAUAGCAAGUCAGAUGUGAAAUCCUAUGGCUUAACCAGAGAACUGCAUUUGAAACUGUUAUGCUAGAGUAUGGGAGAGGGAGGUGGAAUUCUUGGUGUAGGGGUAAAAUCCGUAGAGAUCAAGAGGAAUACUCAUUGCGAAGGCGACCUGCUAGAACAUAACUGACGCUGAUGCGCGAAAGCGUGGGGAGCAAACAGGAUUAGAUACCCGUGUAGUC